UAGGGAAUCUUCGGCAAUGGACGAAAGUCUGACCGAGCAACGCCGCGUGAGUGAAGAAGGUGUUCGGAUCGUAAAACUCUGUUGUUAGAGAAGAACAAGGACGUGAGUAACUGAACGUCCCCUGACGGUAUCUAACCAGAAAGCCACGGCUAACUACGUGCCAGCAGCCGCGGUAAUACGUAGGUGGCAAGCGUUGUCCGGAUUUAUUGGGCGUAAAGCGAGCGCAGGCGGUUUCUUAAGUCUGAUGUGAAAGCCCCCGGCUCAACCGGGGAGGGUCAUUGGAAACUGGGCGACUUGAGUGCAGAAGAGGCGAGUGGAAUUCCCUGUGUAUCGGUGAAAUGCGUAGAUAUAUGGAGGACCACCAGUGGCGAAUGCGGCUCUCUGGUCUGUAACUGACGCUGAGGCUCGAAAGCGUGGGGAGCAAACAGG
rnacentral:rRNA from 1 species